GUCUAUCCUAGCUUUCAGAUGUUUCCCUUCAGGCCCCUUGCUUUGCCGUGCAAAUUCCUGGAAUAGUCAUGUGGUGGUUGUUGUCGUCAAAGAGCUCAUACAAUCCUGACUCAGAGCUGCGAUAGAUUCAAGGCUAACUCCCUUUUCUUGUUGUAGAUAUCAAUCAGAUCUUUAUUAAGGUCACAGACCAGCAUAAGGAGAGCGGAAUAUAAACAAUAAUUUUUAAAAGGCUAAAAAUAUUAUAUAUACCUACGCAAACACCCACACACAGCAGCAUAAGGAGGAUGGCAUUCGCAGGAUUAAAAAAAGUAUAAAAGAUCAAAGUCUAAUUUAAAAAACAGCUAACAAUAUGGAAAAAAAAACUUCAAAACAGUCUCUAAAAAUCUAGAGGGAGAGGCACUGGAAAAGUACGUGCUGUGUUGCUCCUGCGAGUCCGGAGUUACAUUGUCUCUCUGGUUCGAGUGCGGCAGGUGUACAGUAGCCACCUCUUGAGUAGUUUGAGGAUGACAUUUUCAGCAGUGUAUUCUCC